UCUGUUUGAUCCUGGCGGAGGUUACUGCUAUCGAGGUUCGACUAAGCCAUGCGAGUCGAAUGUAGCAAUACAUGGCGUACUGCUCAGUAACACGUGACAACCUACCCUCCGGACGGGGAUAAACCCGGGAAACUGGGUAUAAUACCCGAUAGAUCUCGACUGCUGGAAUGCAUCGAGAUCGAAAGCUCCGGCGCCAGAGGAUGGGUCUGCGGCCUAUCAGGUAGUAGUGGGUGUAGCGUACCUACUAGCCUACGACGGGUACGGGUUGUGAGAGCAAGAGCCCGGAGAUGGAUUCUGAGACACGAAUCCAGGCCCUACGGGGUGCAGCAGCGCGAAAACUUUACAAUGCUGGCAACAGCGAUAAGGGGACCUCGAGUGCCAGGUUACAAAUCUGGCUGUCGUGAUGCCUAAAAAGCAUUGCAUAGCAAGGGCCGGGCAAGACCGGUGCCAGCCGCCGCGGUAACACCGGCGGCUCGAGUGGUAGCCGUUAUUAUUGGGUCUAAAGGGUCUGUAGCCGGCCGGAUAAGUCUCUUGGGAAAUCUGGCAGCUUAACUGACAGGCUUUCAGGAGAUACUGUCUGGCUCGAGGCCGGGAGAGGUGAGAGGUACUCAGGGGUAGGGGGAAAUCUUGUAUCUGAAGGACCACC
rnacentral:rRNA from 1 species